ACGAACGCUGGCGGCGUGCCUAAUACAUGCAAGUUGAGCGCUGAAGGUUGGUACUUGUACCAACUGGAUGAGCAGCGAACGGGUGAGUAACGCGUGGGGAAUCUGCCUUUGAGCGGGGGACAACAUUUGGAAACGAAUGCUAAUACCGCAUAAAAACUUUAAACACAAGUUUUAAGUUUGAAAGAUGCAAUUGCAUCACUCAAAGAUGAUCCCGCGUUGUAUUAGCUAGUUGGUGAGGUAAAGGCUCACCAAGGCGAUGAUACAUAGCCGACCUGAGAGGGUGAUCGGCCACAUUGGGACUGAGACACGGCCCAAACUCCUACGGGAGGCAGCAGUAGGGAAUCUUCGGCAAUGGACGAAAGUCUGACCGAGCAGCGCCGCGUGAGUGAAGAAGGUUUUCGGAUCGUAAAACUCUGUUGGUAGAGAAGAACGUUGGUGAGAGUGGAAAGCUCAUCAAGUGACGGUAACUACCCAGAAAGGGACGGCUAACUACGUG
rnacentral:rRNA from 1 species